rnacentral:lncRNA from 1 species
GGGGCAGAAAGCGUUUUGCAAACAGAGACAGACCACUCGCUGCACUACAAUCUCCAAGCUUCCCUGCAGGGGAAGCCACGGCAGCUAAAGUGGUGUGUGUGCGUUUUACGCUCGCUGCUGCUGUGUGGACGUGCGGCGCUCAAAUUUUCUCCGGCUGCUGCUUUGCCUUCGUUCCUCGGCGGCAGCAGCUGCUUGCAGCAGGAACAGCCAUUGAUACCGCCGCCUUCUCUUUCCACCUAAGCGCGCUUUAGACUCUNGGAUCUUGCUUGGAGAGUUUUCAGCUCCGUUGUUUGAAAAGCCAGGACGGAGGCAGAAAAAGAAUAACUCUUCCCGUUUGAAAAAGAGCUGGCCUAAAAGGGAACUGGAGUUCUUCACUCCUCACCUCUAAGAAAAAUACGGAUUUUCUGCUAUACUGGAAGAGCAAGAAGUCGCGUUUGAGGCUGCAGUUCCGCGUUUGCCAAACGUUACUAAUUUGUUGGCUCGAUAGUCGUAAGGAGGGAAGCUGGCAGAAGAGUUUCCCUCUGGCUGUUUAGUCUGAUCGNAGAGUUAAAGAGUAAAAUAAAUAGACUUGAGCUGCCGUUUCACGACCGGUUUUCUUGGAAAUGAGAAAGGUCCUUGAAACAAGCAAAGAGAACCAGGUACCUGGAUGGUGGUAAUAAGGAAGUAGUGGUGGACUUUGCCAAGGAUCCCUUCUGGACUUGAACCAAGAAUUAGCAUCCUGGAGUUGUCACCAUGCAGAACAGCUUUGCUCCUGUGGCCUUACUGGGGUUACCUGCUGAUGAACCAGAAUUGAUUUGCAAGAUUGAGCCAGGGGAAGAACCGUGGAUCCCAAGUGAUCAUGCCACAAUGGAUCGACAAAUCCUUCCUGGAAGCAAACUAGCUUCUGAAACGUCGGAGCCUGCAGUCGCUCCCUACAGGCAGUAUCGUGGCACCACGUGGACCUACCCUGAGGUCAUUGACCUCCUGGUCAUCUGGAGAGAGCGNGAGAUCCAGCAGGAACUUCAGAGGAGCCAUCGAAACAUAGAGACAUUUCAGGUGGUGGCCAACAAGAUGGCCAAGAGAGGCCACAAGCGUUCAGCGCUGGAGUGCAGAUCAAAAAUCAAGACCUUAAAGCGAGACUAUAGAAUCGCCAAGGCCAACAACUCUCCUGGGAAAGGACAUUUAGCUUGGCUCUUCUAUGAUCGCCUGGACCAUCUGUUGGCUAAUGAUGCUGACAUCCCGCCUCCAGAUAUGCUUCCCAUUUUCAGUCACUGUGGGACAUCCCUAGCUGACUCAAUGUCUCAAUGUUCCACCGAGGAGGAUGCAAUGGCAGAAGGAGCUAGAGAAUAUAGCCCAGCCAAUCAGGAGCUGCUGACUCUGAGGUCACAGUCGCCCACGGAAGUCAUCGGUCUGGAAGAUCAUGUUCCCGUGUUACAGAUAAAGGAAGAACCCCCUGAUGAAAUAGCAGUGAUAUCUCCAGUGGUUGUAACAGAAGUUGGAAGUCCAGCUCCUCCGUUGCAGUCUGUUGCAUGCAAUAAACCAGGUGCUUCUGUCUCAACAAUAGAUGUGGCUGUAACACCCGCCGCUAGUCCUUUGCCGGGUUCUGCUGCGGAGCGUCUUGCCAACAUCCGAAAGCGGAAAAGGAAAAACAGACAAGACGUGGCCCUGGAAAUCACACAGGCGGCUGACAAAAGAGUGCAAACAGCUACCGACAGGAUUCUGGCCGCGCUCAGCGAAUACGCGAGGGCAGAUCUGGAGGACCGUGAGCGAGACCGUCUGGACACUGAGCAAAUCAUUGCACUCAUGAACAGGCAGACAGAACUCCUGGAGUUGCUGGUGCGAAAGCAGACGGAGACGCAGGCGCCAGCAUCCCCUGUGUUGGCGCGGCACGCCCGGCUUCCGCGGCUCGGGCAGCCAAAUCAUUCUGCAGACCCUUCCGCCUUGCGCUUGGGGGGGCCCAGGCGGCCCGUCGCUAGGGCGAGGUACAGGAGAUGACUCCAAAGCUGUGUCCGGCUUCACCCACCAGGGGGGAGGAAGGGGCUUUGAUUCUAAAUUGUUAGCAUGCAGGACUCUGACGGCAUGUCUGUAACAGGUUGCGGCUUUAUUCUUCAAGAAUUUGAAAAUCUUUUAUAAUAAAUGACUUUUGUUUGCCA